rnacentral:rRNA from 1 species
UACGAAGGGGGCUAGCGUUGCUCGGAAUCACUGGGCGUAAAGCGCACGUAGGCGGAUCUUUAAGUCACGGGUGAAAUCCUGGAGCUCAACUCCAGAACUGCCUUUGAUACUGGGGAUCUCGAGUCCGGGAGAGGUGAGUGGAACUGCGAGUGUAGAGGUGAAAUUCGUAGAUAUUCGCAAGAACACCAGUGGCGAAGGCGGCUCACUGGCCCGGAACUGACGCUGAGGUGCGAAAGCGUGGGGAGCAAACAGG